rnacentral:rRNA from 1 species
CCUACGGGAUGCAGCAGUGAGGAAUAUUGGUCAAUGGACGAGAGUCUGAACCAGCCAAUUAGCGUGAAGGAUGACUGCCCUAUGGGUUGUAAACUUCUUUUAUAAAGGAAUAAAACGAGUCACGUGUGCCUUUUUGCAUGUACUUUAUGAAUAAGGAUCGGCUAACUCCGUGCCAGCAGCCGCGGUAAUACGGAGGAUCCGAGCGUUAUCCGGAUUUAUUGGGUUUAAAGGGAGCGUAGGUGGUUUGUUAAGUCAGUUGGGAAAGUUUGCGGCUCAACCGUAAAAGUGCAAUUGAUACUGGCAGUCUUGAGUACAGUAGAGGUAGGCGGAAUUCGUGGUGUAGCGGUGAAAUGCUUAGAUAUCACGAAGAACACCGAUUGCGAAGGCAGCUUACUGAACUGUGACUGACAUUGAUGCUCGAAAGUGUGGGUAUCAAACAGGAUUAGAUACCCCUGUAGUC